ACGAGAAGAACCUUACAUGGUCUUGACAUCCAUAGAAUUCUGCAGAGAUGUGGGAGUGCUUCGGAACUAUGAGACAGGUGCUGCAUGGCUGUCGUCAGCUCGUGUUGUGAAAUGUUGGGUUAAGUCCCGCAACGAGCGCAACCCUUAUUCUUUGUUGCCAGCGAUUUGGUCGGGAACUCAAAGGAGACUGCCGUUGAUAAAGCGGAGGAAGGUGGGGACGACGUCAAGUCAUCAUGGCCCUUACGACCAGGGCUACACACGUGCUACAAUGGCGUAUACAAAGGGAAGCGAAGGUGCGAGCUGGAGCGGAUCUCAUAAAGUACGUCUAAGUUCGGAUUGGAGUCUGCAACUCGACUCCAUGAAGUCGGAAUCGCUAGUAAUCGUAGAUCAGAAUGCUACGGUGAAUACGUUCCCGGGCCUUGUACACACCGCCCGUCACACCAUGGGAGUGGGUUGCACCAGAAGUAGAUAGCUUAACCGCGAGGGGGGCGUUUACCACGGUGUGAUUCAUGACUGGGGUGAAGUCGUAACAAGGUAACCA
rnacentral:rRNA from 1 species